CCGAUUUUUUUUUUCCUUUUUUUCGCAUUUUUGGAAGAUAAUGUAAUAAAUGUCCACACCCCCACACAAUGCACCCCUCUUCUAUCCACCCCUCCCUCCUUUGUGAUUGAAAAUGAGAGUCCCUUCAUCUUUAAAAAGAAAAUAGAUGAGCGGUCUGCACCCGCAAGGCGGUGCUCUUGUUUUUAAUUUACUAGUUUGAUUCACAGCUAUGCUUUUCCAUGUUUUGUUUUUUUGUUGGAUGAUGGUUUUAACAGUUACGGGUAGUUAAAAUGAGUUAAAUGGUGGAAGUUUUAAUUUGUUCUGUGUAAAGGCUUUUAAAAUUGUUUCAAUAUUGAUUGCAAUUUCACCUAGACUAGUUUAAAUAGAGCAACAACUCUCUCUCUUUUGAAAUUGUUUUCCAUGAUUUACACAAAUAUCUCAUAGUUUUGAUGAAAAUGUAUUUGUCAGACAAGAUCUUCUGCAGUAUGCGUUUUCGGUUAUAAUGUAACAUGCUAUAUUAACUUUGUGGGCAUUUAGUUUUUGUUACCUAUUUUAAGUUAAAGGGAUCUUUUCACGGUUUGGUAAAUUACCUAUUUUAAGUUAAAGGGAUCUUUUCACGGUUUGGUAAAUUGACAAAAUUUAAAAAAGUUGUUUCAGAUUCGCAAAUUUUCGGUUUAGUUAUGAUAUUUGUGAGGAAACAGUAUUACUGAACAUUUGCCAUGGUCUAAUAUAGCCAUUAUAUGCAUCUUUUGACGAUUUAAAAACCUAAAAAUUAUAAAGUGUUGCAACGCGAAACGAUUGAAUAAUUUGGAGAGUUCUGUUGUUGUCGUUAAAAUUUGAAACUACGAAGAUUGCUUAUAUAAGGUAUAAAAUACGCAUCUUAUGUAUGCUUGGCAGGAUAGCUCAGUUGGCUAAUGCGUUUUUACUUCAGGAUUCUGAAGGUCACUGGUUCGAGCCCUGCUGUGGGCUACUUUUUUUUUUCCUUUUUUUAAAUUUUAUUUUUGAUUUUUUACUGGAGCUUUUAAAAUUUAAUGUUUACAUUUAUCAAUAUAAAGCAUUUAAUGACAAACUUCAAAACAUGCCAAAAUCUGUGAAAAGGCCCCUUUAAAUGCCUUCAAAGAACAUUGGAAAACAUAAAUGUGUUUUGUUUUUGAAAACUCAACUAGUUACAUGAAUUGAUGAUGUUCAGGGUUAAAAAAAAUCAUCAGGUCAAUACUUGUAUUUAAUUUGCCAUUGUAAUUACAGCAAACCUGGUGUUACUACAGCUACUGUUAAGUCGAAAACUACAAACAGACUUCCAGUUGUCAAGGAAAUGUAAUCAAAGUGUAUGUUUUGUGUCAAUAUUUGUUAGUACCUUUACCAGAAGUAAAUGUAUGUUUGUGUGAUUUACUUGUGUUAUGAUUACAUAAGUACAUGUAUAACUUUGAUGUCAUAUGCAUUUAGAUAUUUAUGUUGAAAUUUUGCAUUUUCUGACCUUAUUCCAUUCCUUGUAAAUAUAAUUUAAGUUAUUUGUAGGGUAAUUAUUUUUGGAUUUCUGAUGUUGAAACAAAUUAGAAAAUUGUAUAUUAUUAGAUCUGAAAUGUAAGCAUGUACCAAUAAACAUGUUUCAUUGUCAUGUUCGUUAUAGAAGUUGGCAAAAAAGUGAUAUUCAGUGUUUAUUUUAAAGGCUUCUUCAUCUGAGAUAAUCUAUGUAAUAAUUGAAAUGGCAUUGUUAAGCAGAAUUUUGCUCUUUUAUGUUUUUGUUGACAGGUGGAGGUUUUUAUGGAUAGAAAUUUCUAACUCCUGGCAACAUUUUUUACUUGAUAUUUGAUUUAGUUAUUUAGAUCUGAAUUGAAUAUCUGUGUAUAUAUUUGUAUAUAUUCUGCCUUGAAAUGGGGACCAAAACUAAAUUUUGUUGUGAUAUUUUUAACAUCUUCCGUCCAGAUUUGUAUAUAAAAACUGUGUGUAUUUAUGUAGUUGUAGUACUCAUUCAAUCACUGAACAGUGCUUUUCAUCAAUACAAUUAUAUUUUAAAAGAAACCUUUAUUAAUAAUCCAACUGUAUUGAAUCUGAUUUUUUUAAACAAUAAAUUAUGUUUUUGGUAUUGUACUUGCAAAUAUUUUGUUUAAAGCUCCCUUCAUUUUCCAUCACCUUCUGCAUUUAGGUAAUACAGAAAAUAGUUGCCAAAGAUUUUGGAAAAUAGCUCUUGCAUUAUCAAAAAUAUACUAGUAUGAUAAACUAUUACGUUGUGGGUGCAUAACUGAUGUCAAUACUUGGCCCCUUCAUAGCUCCUCUAUUUCGUAAUGCAUUUAAUUACAUAAUGCGCCUAUUGUUAGGCUGAUGUUUGUCGAUUAGCAUUUCUAAUUGAUAUUAGCCCACCCCACCCCUCUUUUGCUCAGUUGUAAAGGGCUGGACUGUAAAUUUGAUAUCCAUGGGUUUGAUUUCUGGCCUAGGCACAAAAUAUAUGAUCAUGAAAACCUGCCUACUACCACUGGUCCUUCACCUCUGAUCCCAGUAUGGCAGUGGUCAGUUAGCUGCAACAGUAUUUGGCCCCAAUGGUGCAAUAAGGUACCAUGUGACAUGUACAGUUGAUGGCGCAUGGUACCUUUUUGCAUCAAUGGGGCGAUUUGUCUCUUAUUCCUGUUUAACCAGCUAACCCAGCCAAAUUGUUAGUAUGUACAUGUACUGCUAGGUUUAUUGACCAAAGUGAUGUGACUGAAACUUUGUUGAAAACGCAAAUAAAUCCAAUUAAACAAACAAAAUGUUUAUCAACACGCUAACAUUUCAGUAUGCCUCUCCAUAGGAAAUGUUAUGUGUAAACUAUGUUGACACUUGUAACAUAGUCUUGCCCUGAAGUACAAACAAAAAAUAUACUGGUAUUUCAGAUUGCUUGCCAAAUGCACUGGUAUGUUUUGAUCCAAGUUGGCUAAAAUUCAUUAUGGGUAUAUUAGAAUAUGGAUUUUUUCUGAAGGUAAAGAUUUAUAGUUUUAUUUUCGAAUCUUUAUCUGUCUAGAAUACAGGCAUUUUAGGGCAAAGUGAGGUAGUUAUGAUAGUAUCAAGCGAAAAAGAUAAUUGUUUUCUCUGUCCCAAAAAUCAUGUCAGACGUUUUUUCAUAAACCUGAGUUGGUUUAUUUCGAAGCAUUUGUUUGUUCGCAUAAAAAUUACUGAAGGUAACUUUAUAUUAGUUGUAAAGUCUCUUUAACAAAUGUGUCAUUUUUAUGGGCUUUGUGCUUGCAAAGGACCCUGGAAAAAUAUUGAUUGUUAAAACAUAACCCAGAAGGGUUAACAGUCGCCAGAAAUAAAUGCUGUUAUGAUUGCAUGCACUGAUUGAUAAGCAUAUGUGCGUAUUUCGAGAGGAGCUAAUAAUGAAGGGGGUAACUCAGUAUCUUCCAUUCAACUUUGUUGAGGAAAGUUAUAUAUAAAAAAUUAUCACAUGCAAAGAAAGUCAUUUUGAUUUGAAGAUUUUGAAGGGCAACAAUUUAAAAGCAAUAUUAUGUUUAAUAAGUACAAAAUACCGUAUCAAACAUGCUGGGAAUAAUAUUUCCAAAAAAAAGGAACACAUUUAUUUUCAAAGUCUUAAUUUAUUAAGUUAUAAAUGUAAAUUCUGUAUAAAAAAAUAUUGAUAACUCUUUCUAACAUAUCAGUUUUUAUGUCCCCCACUAUAGUAGUGGGAGACAUAUUGUUUUUGCCCUGUCUGUUGGUUGGUCUGUUGGUUGGUUGGUUGGUUUGCGCCAACUUUAACAUUUGCAAUAACUUUUGCAAUAUUGAAGAUAGCAACUUGAUAUUUGGCAUGCAUAUGUAUCUCAUGGAGGUGCACAUUUUGAGUGGUGAAAGGUCAAGGUCAAAUAUAUGGGUCAAAAUGGCUCAUUUAAUAUACACUUUUGCAGUAUUUCAAUAUUCAAGAUAGCAACUUGAUAUUUGGCAUGCAUGUGUAUCUCAUGGAGCUGCACAUUUUGAGUGGUGAAAGGUCAAGGUCAUCCUUCAAGGUCAAAUAUAUGGGUCAAAAUUGCUCAUGUAAUGUCACUUCUGCAAUAUUGAAGCUAGCAAUUUUAUAUUUGAAAUGCAUGUGUAUCUCAUGGAGCUGCACAUUUUGAGUGGUGAAGGGUCAAGAUCAAGGUCAUCCUUCAAGGUCAAACGUCAUAUAGGGGGACAUUGUGUUUCUCAAACACAUCUUGUUGUUUUUUUAUUAUUCUUUAUUUAUUUAUUGUUGGUGCAUUCAGCUUUUUUCUUGGUCAUAACUAUUGCAUGUCCUUUCUAGAUAAAUGUAUCUAGGAAUAGAAAGCUUGUUGUUAUACCAUUUCCUCAGAGAGUACUCCUGAAUCUUGCCAUAUACUAGAACCUAAAUGAUUAUUUAUGAUUAAUCUAGAACCUAAAUGAUUAUUUAUGAUGCAUCAUUUGCAUGUAUAAGCUGAACAUCAAUACAUUUAUAUUGCAAACUCUUGUACAUAGGUGUGUAUAUAUCAUAGGUGUGUAUAUAUUUAUAUAUACAUGUAUUUAUACUUUUAUAACAUAGCAUUGGUUUUAAUUUAUUAUUGAUGCUAAUAAAUAUGUACAUGAA